CAUAAAAUGCACCCAUAUAAAUUCAAUAGGGUACAGCAUUUGAAGGAAACUGAUUUCGUCAGGAGAACAGAGUUUUGCGAAGCUAUGAUGAUUCGAUUUCAAGAGAAUGAAAACUUUUUGGACUGUAUAUAGGUAAUUUGGACAGAUGAAUCUAAAUUCACAAAGAAUGGUUCUUUCAAUAGGCAUAACAGCCAUUAUUGGGAUGAAGAGAACAACCACCACUUCAGACAAUGGAACUUUCAAGAGACCUGGAGUUUCAAUGUUUUUUGCGCCAUCAAAAAUAAUGCAAUUCUCGAUGUUCACAUUUAUGAUGGGACUUUAACUGGAGAUAGAUAUUCUGACAUAUUGACUCAAAUAACUGAGCCGCUAGUACAGAACCACAAUGACUUGGUAUCAACAAGAUGGCGCGCCUCCACACAAUUCACUCAAUGUGUCAAAUAUCCUCUACAGGCUAUUUGAAGAUCGAUGGUUGGCGAACAAUGGUCCACAUCUUUGGCCACCACGUUCUCCCGAUUUAACUCCUUUAGACUAUUAUGUUUGGUGUAGGAUA